rnacentral:rRNA from 1 species
CGUGAGCAAUCUGCCCAUAUCUGGGGGAUAACAGUUGGAAACGACUGAUAAUACCGCAUAAUAUUAUUUGAAGGCAUCUUCUUAUAAUCAAAGAUUUAUCGGAUAUGGAUGAGCUCGCGUCUGAUUAGCUUGUUGGUGAGGUAACGGCUCACCAAGGCGACGAUCAGUAGCCGACCUGAGAGGGUGAUCGGCCACAUUGGAACUGAGACACGGCCCAAACUCCUACGGGAGGCAGCAG